rnacentral:rRNA from 1 species
GACGGGACCCGCACAAGCAGCGGAGCGUGUGGUUUAAUUCGUUGCUACACGAAGAACCUUACCUGGGUUUGACAUAUAGGUUGUAGGGAACUGAAAAGGGACCGACCCUUCGGGGAGCCUAUACAGGUGUUGCAUGGCUGUCGUCAGCUCGUGUCGUGAGAUGUUCGGUUAAGUCCGCUAACGAGCGCAACCCUCGUCGUAUGUUAUAUGUGUCAUACGAGACUGCCGGUAAAAAGCCGUAGGAAGGUGAGGAUGAUGUCAAGUCAGCAUGACCUUUAUAUCCAGGGCUACACACACGCUACAAUGGUCUGUACAAUGGGUAGCCAAGCCGCGAAGCGGAGCCAAUCCUGAAAGCAGGCCUCAGUUCAGAUUGCAGUCUGCAACUCGACUGCAUGAAGCCAGAGUUGCUAGUAACCGCAGGUCAGCAAUACUGCGGUGAAUACGUUCCCGGGUCUU